rnacentral:rRNA from 1 species
UACGGGGGGAGCAAGCGUUGUUCGGAUUUACUGGGCGUAAAGGGCGCGUAGGCGGCGUGACAAGUCACUUGUGAAAUCUCCGGGCUUAACUCGGAACGGUCAAGUGAUACUGUCGGACUAGAGUACAGAAGGGGGCAACUGGAAUUCUCGGUGUAGCGGUGAAAUGCGUAGAUAUCGGAAAGGAACAUCAGUGGCGAAAGCGGCUUCCUGGACCAGAACUGACGAUCAGGCUCGAAAGCGUGGGGGAGCAAACAGG